rnacentral:rRNA from 1 species
UACGUAGGGCGCAAGCGUUGUCCGGAAUUAUUGGGCGUAAAGAGCUCGUAGGCGGUCUGUCGCGUCGGCUGUGAAAACCCGAGGCUCAACCUCGGGCCUGCAGUCGAUACGGGCAGACUAGAGUGCUGUAGGGGAGACUGGAAUUCCUGGUGUAGCGGUGAAAUGCGCAGAUAUCAGGAGGAACACCGGUGGCGAAGGCGGGUCUCUGGGCCGAUACUGACGCUGGAGGAGCGAAAGCGUGGGGAGCGAACAGG